UACGGAGGGAGCUAGCGUUGUUCGGAAUUACUGGGCGUAAAGCGCACGUAGGCGGCUUUGUAAGUUAGAGGUGAAAGCCCGGGGCUCAACCCCGGAAUUGCCUUUAAGACUGCAUCGCUAGAAUCAUGGAGAGGUAAGUGGAAUUCCGAGUGUAGAGGUGAAAUUCGUAGAUAUUCGGAAGAACACCAGUGGCGAAGGCGACUACUGGACAUGUAUUGACGCUGAGGUGCGAAAGCGUGGGGAGCAAACAGG
rnacentral:rRNA from 1 species